rnacentral:rRNA from 1 species
AUGGUCGCUAAGAAGUAUUAUCCUGCUAGGCGACGGCCCACCCUCCCUGCACAACCUGGAAAAUCUGGAAAGCCAAUUGUCCUCAAUCAAAAGGCCAGCCUAUCGGAAUACUGCGAGAAGGGUUACAGUUUUGUUCUGGCGGAGCAGCGGGUGGGGGAGCGAAAUCAGGCGAUGGCCAGCAAGUCAAGGCCGUCACGACGGCUGGUGGCGCAACAUGCGACUAUGGCGGACCUAGUUCUGGAGACCCCAUCCGCGCGCGUCCAGGCAGGUUGCGACCGCGGUCGCCCUCGUACGUCAGUCGGCGGCAUCGGAGCCAUGUCAGAGCCAAUUGCUGGGCAUGUCACCGAGACUGACCAAGACGCCGCGGCUGCAAGUGCUGGGCAUGUCGCCAAGAAGACCAACAAGCAGUACUAG